rnacentral:rRNA from 1 species
UGCUAGCGGAGGGCAGUUCGGUUGCCCCGCGAACAGCUCAGUAACACGUGGUCAAUCUACCCUUGGGACUGGUAUAACCCCGGGAAACUGGGGAUAAUACCAGAUAGACGGGGAGUCUGGAAAAGUUCCUCGUCGAAACGCGAUAGCACCCAAGGAUGAGACUGCGGCCUAUUAGGUAGUUGGUGGGGUAAUGGCCCACCAAGCCAAAGAUGGGUACGGGCCCUGAGAGGGGGAGCCCGGAGAUGGGGACUGAGACAAGGCCCCAGGCCCUACGGGGCGCAGCAGGUGCGAAAAUUCCGCAAUGCGUGCAAGCGCGACGGAGUGACUCCCAGUGCCGAUGGUCCAACGAUCGUCGGCUUUUCUGGAAUGUAAAAAGUUCCAGGUAAUAAGGGCCGGGUAAGACUGGUGCCAGCCGCCGCGGUAACACCAGCGGCCCAAGUGGUAGUCGCUCUUAUUGGGCCUAAAGCGUCCGUAGCCGGGCUAACAAGUCUUUUGUGAAAUCGGGCGGCUUAACCGCUCGAAUUGCAGGGGAAACUGUUGGUCUUGAGGCCGGCAGGCGGCGAGGGUACUCCGGGGGUAGCGGUGAAAUGCUAUAAUCCCCGGGGGACCGCCGGUGGCGAAAGCGCUCGCCGAUGCUGGACCUGACGGUGAGGGACGAAAGCCAGGGGAGCAAACCGGAUUAGAUACCCGGGUAGUCCUGGCUGCAAAGGAUGUGGGCUAGGUGCUUGGUGAUCCUCGAGAUCACUA